rnacentral:rRNA from 1 species
UACGGGGGGGGCAAGCGUUGUUCGGAAUUACUGGGCGUAAAGGGCUCGUAGGCGGCCAACUAAGUCAGACGUGAAAUCCCUCGGCUUAACCGGGGAACUGCGUCUGAUACUGGUUGGCUUGAGUGUGGGAGAGGGAUGCGGAAUUCCAGGUGUAGCGGUGAAAUGCGUAGAUAUCAGGAGGAACACCGGUGGCGAAGGCGGGUCUCUGGGCCGAUACUGACGCUGAGGAGCGAAAGCGUGGGGAGCGAACAGG